UCCCUGGUGGCCUAGUGGUUGAGGAAUCGGCAUUGUCACUGCUGUGGCUAGGGUUCGACUCCUGGCCCGGGAA
rnacentral:tRNA from 1 species